GAGCGGGGCCCCGGCCCCACUAUGCGCCCCUGGGAGAGCGGCCGGGAGCUGUGCGGGGCGGCGGGGCGGAGCGGGGUGGGACGGAAGGCGCAGCUCCCGGUCCGUGGGCUCCCUCGGCGGGGCAGGGCUGGCAGAGCGAAUUGUCAUUCCAAAUGAAAAGAAAACACGAUUUCUAAGAAGUGUUUAGGAGGGUGCGCUGCGGGGCAUAUUUUCUUUCUUACUGGCAAGGGUUUGUAACUGGAUCCCUGAACAUUGCUGAGAACAUGAAAACAUGAAACAAAAGUAUUGAUCCAAGAAUUCGCAGAAGAAAAGGAUCCAAAUACACCCGGGUUUGUUCGGUGGGUUUUUUAAAGGUUCUAACAGAUGUUUACUGGGCGCAGCUCGAGCCCUUGCGUGCACCGUGCAAGCGCGCGUGGGGCAAAGUGUCAUUUGUGCGGUUAAAUCUGCAUUAUGCCCGCCUUAAUUGCAUCAGCUGCCAGAGACAUCUAGGAAUAAUGGCAUUAAAGAGGGAAAUAGCAAUCAUCUUCAAAAGGCUGCAGCAUAAUGGAGGGACCUAAUUAAUUUAACCUUGCAGUCUUCCAUAAUGGCUGCACUUUAUCAUUUCCACAGAUGGAGCUUGAAGGAAUUAACAAUGCCGUUUAUCCCAGCUGACAUCUCUGACUGUGGUUAGCCAGUGGCACAUUUCCCACUUCAAGAUGCAUUUCUUCACUUGAGGGAAACCAAGGCGAGCUCUGGCAAUAGCUGCCGAAACUUGCAGCUGUGACGUGCGUGUGGCAUGCUGGAAAACUCCGAGAAUAAGCACGAGAUCGGUCUCUUUAUGAGCUCAUCAAGUGAUGCUGGGAGAAAACGGAGUGUUUCCUUGCUUACCUGACCCCAGACGUUUCCAAUACUAUUUCAGGAUUCACAUAAUUCAACCCAGCGCCUUUCCAAGACAAUUCUCAGUGUUAACAGACUCUGACUUUCUGUGCUCGGGGAAACCUGAGCAGCCCCGAGGUGAGCGCUUCCCCGCCCGCACAGCUCAGCACCACCAGCACUGUUCGCACUGGACGGUUGUUUAUUAUCUCAGCAAACAAUGCAUUCUCCGCGUCGAUCGCGUCCUACGGUGACACGCACGCACAGCUCGGACUCACACGUGGGUGACACUCGCCUCUCCGCAAAGCCUGACUAUGGGAACCCACUCUGUUCCACGUUGCUUACAAGGGAAUAAAUUGCGGCGGUCAAAUGUUCUGCA
rnacentral:lncRNA from 1 species